UUUAACUGAGCGUUCAGUUACUUGACGUAGACCCGAAACCGGGCGACCUACCCAUGAGCAGGAUGAAGCGAAAGUAAAAUUUCGUGGAGGUCCGAACCCACGAGCGUUGAAAAGCUCGGGGAUGACUUGUGGGUAGCGGUGAAAUUCCAAUCGAGCCCGGAGAUAGCUGGUUCUCCCCGAAAUAGCUUUAGGGCUAGCCUCAAGGUGAGAGAUACGGAGGUAGAGCACUGAAUGUCCUAGGGGGUAUUGCACCUACCGAAGACUAUCAAACUCCGAAUGCCGUCAUCUUAUACUUGGGAGUCAGACUGUGGGUGAUAAGAUUCAUAGUCGAAAGGGCAACAGCCCAGAUCGUCAGCUAAGGUCCCUAAAUGUAAGUUAAGUGGUAAAGGAUGUGGGAUUGCACAGACAACCAGGAUGUUGGCUUAGAAGCAGCCACUCAUUCAAAGAGUGCGUAAUAGCUCACUGGUCGAGUGAUCCUGCGCCGAAGAUUUCCGGGGCUAAAACUUACUACCGAAGCUACGGCAUCAGUAAUGAUGGGUAGGGGAGCUUCCCAUACGGGUUGAAGCAUGACCGUAAGGACAUGUGGACAGUAUGGGAGUGAGAAUGUUGGCAUGAGUAGCGAGAUGUGGGUGAGAAUCCCACAGGCCGUAAACCCAAGGUUUCCAGGGGAAGGUUCGUCCGCCCUGGGUUAGUCGGGACCUAAGCUGAGGCCGAAAGGCGUAGGUGAUGGACAACAGGUUGAUAUUCCUGUACUACCGAUAACCGUUUGAGAGAAGGGAUGACACAGUAGGAUAAGCUAAGCACACUGUUGGUUAUGUGUGCCCAAGCAUUGAGGCAGUCAAAGUAGGCAAAUCCGCUUUGAUAAUGCUGGGAUGUGAUGGGGAGCGAAAUUUAGUAGCGAAGUAGCUGAUUUCACACUGUCAAGAAAAGUCUCUAUCGAGGUUAAAGGUACCCGUACCGCAAACCGACACAGGUGGGUGAGGAGAGUAUCCUAAGGCCAGCGAGAGAACUGUUGUUAAGGAACUCGGCAAAAUGACCCCGUAACUUAGGGAUAAGGGGUGCCACCAUUAGGUGGCCGCAGAGAAUAGGCCCAAGCGACUGUUUACCAAAAACAUAGGUUUCUGCUAAGUCGCAAGACGAUGUAUAGGAGCUGACGCCUGCCCGGUGCUGGAAGGUUAAGGGGAUCUGUUAGAGUAAUCGAAGCAGUGAACUUAAGCCCCAGUAAACGGCGGCCGUAACUAUAACGGUCCUAAGGUAGCGAAAUUCCUUGUCGGGUAAGUUCCGACCCGCACGAAAGGCGUAACGAUUUGGGCACUGUCUCAACAACAGACUCGGUGAAAUUGUAAUUCCGGUGAAGAUGCCGGAUACCUGCGACAGGACGGAAAGACCCCAUGGAGCUUUACUGUAGCUUGACAUUGGGUCUUGGUACUACAUGUACAGGAUAGGUGGGAGGCUUUGAAACCAGGACGCCAGUUUUGGCGGAGCCAUCCUUGGGAUACCACCCUUGUAGUACUGGGACUCUAACCAUAGGCCAUGAAUCUGGUCUUGGGACACUGUCAGGUGGGCAGUUUGACUGGGGCGGUCGCCUCCCAAAAGGUAACGGAGGCGCUCAAAGGUUCUCUCAGUACGGUCGGAAAUCGUACGUAGAGUGUAAAGGCAAAAGAGAGCUUGAUUGCAAGACAUACAGGUCGAGCAAGGAUGAAAAUCGGACUUAGUGAUCCGGUGGUUCUGCGUGGAAGGGCCAUCGCUCAACGGAUAAAAGCUACCCUGGGGAUAACAGGCUUAUCUCCCCCAAGAGUCCACAUCGACGGGGAGGUUUGGCACCUCGAUGUCGGCUCAUCACAUCCUGGGGCUGUAGUAGGUCCCAAGGGUUGGGCUGUUCGCCCAUUAAAGUGGUACGCGAGCUGGGUUCAGAACGUCGUGAGACAGUUCGGUCCCUAUCCGUCGCAGGCGUAGGAAAUUUGAGAAGACCUGUCCUUAGUACGAGAGGACCGGGAUGGACGUACCUCUGGUGUACCAGUUGUCCUGCCAAGGGCAUGGCUGGGUAGCUAUGUACGGAAUGGAUAAGCGCUGAAAGCAUCUAAGCGCGAAGCCAACUUCAAGAUAAGAUUUCCCACCGCAAGGGUAAGACCCCAGAAAGACUAUCUGGUUGAUAGGUCGAAGGUGUAAGUGCAGCAAUGUAUUUAGCUUAUCGAUACUAAUAG
rnacentral:rRNA from 1 species